AGGACGAACGCUGGCGGCGUGCCUAACACAUGCAAGUCGAACGAGAAUCGAUGGAACGGAGCUUCGGCGAAGGGAAGUCGAGGACAGUGGCGGACGGGUGAGUAACGCGUGAGCAACCUGCCCUUCAGAGGGGGACAACAGUUGGAAACGACUGCUAAUACCGCAUGAUAUAUUGGGAAGGCAUCUUCCUAUUAUCAAAGAUUUAUCGCUGAAGGAUGGGCUCGCGUCUGAUUAGCUGGUUGGUGGGGUAACGGCCUACCAAGGCGACGAUCAGUAGCCGGACUGAGAGGUUGAACGGCCACAUUGGGACUGAGAUACGGCCCAGACUCCUACGGGAGGCAGCAGUGGGGAAUAUUGGGCCAAUGGGGGCAACCCUGACCCAGCAACGCCGCGUGAAGGAAGAAGGCUUUCGGGUUGUAAACUUCUUUGACGAGGGACGAAAAAUGACGGUACCUCGAAAACAAGCCACGGCUAACUACGUGCCAGCCGCCGC
rnacentral:rRNA from 1 species